GUAUCGCCACGUGGCCUUCUUCAACCUCAGAAUCCAUUUCUCAAAAACCUGAUUCCCCUCAUUCUUCUUCUCCAAUUUCCACCAUGAUCCUCUCUCUCUCUUCCCCUUUCUCACUCCUCUCUUUCAUCCUAUUCUUCGCCUCUCCUCUCAUCGCCGCACCUGAGCCAUCCACCAUCUACGAUCAUCUGCAUCGUCAUGGCCUCCCCAUUGGCCUCCUCCCCAAGAACAUUACCAGAUUCUCAAUCGACUCUUCCACCGGCCGUUUUCAGGUCUUCCUCGACCAGCCCUGCAAUGCCAAGUUCGAGAAUGAGGUUCACUAUGAUUUCAACGUCUCCGGCAGGCUCGCCUACGGCCAGAUCGCUGAAUUGGCUGGAAUUUCUUCGCAGGAGCUCUUUCUUUGGUUUCCUGUUAAGGGAAUUCGUGUCGAUUUGCACACCUCUGGUGUAAUACAUUUCGACGUCGGCGUUGUUGACAAACAGUUCUCUCUUUCUCUGUUUGAGUCCCCGCCUGAUUGCACUGCGGCUGAUCCGGUUGAUCAAUCCGUCGCGUCGGAUGGAGUUUCUCUCGGUUUGGAUGGGGCGUUUUGAUGAAUGAAGUACAGAACCUUCAGCUUGAAGACGGGGAACUAAGGGCAACAUCAUAUAGAUUAGCAAUAAAGAAAUAUCGUGGCAAGAGUCUGGCUUUGCUGGUCUGGUAAAUUUUCUCUACUACUUGUGGACUGCUUUUAUUUUGUAUAGUCUUUGUUUCCUGAUAGUCCUGUCUGAUGGGGAAAGGAGGCUAAAAGCUCACACAAGUAUUUAGCCUCCAAUCCUUCCAAGUAGAAUUCUGAAUUUGAGGGAGGGAGAUUGUUGUAGAAAUAUUUAGCCUCCAAUCCUUCCAAGUAGAAUUCUGAAUUUGAGGGAGGGAGAUUGUUGUAGAAAUAUUUAGCCUCCAAUCCUUCAAAUCUAUACUAUUAUCUGAGUUUAAGUGAGGGAGAUUGUUGCAAGUUUUUUGUUUAAUCUCUCUAUGAAGUAUAUUACUGGUUCUGGCUGUGGUUGGUUUUGGCUACUCACAUAAAGAAGUGUUGUUUUUGUUGUCUUGUUCUAUCUUAUAGCCAUAAAAUCUUUGCUUGUAAAUGUACACUGCAAAAGUGAUCUUUUAGUAGUUAAAGAGGAUUCACAUGUAUCUUA